rnacentral:rRNA from 1 species
CUGCGGAGGUAUUAUCAUACAAUGGAGGUGCUGGGGUUGUCGCUGACUUUGUCGUGCACACCUGGUGCUCUCACACAUCCAUCUCACCUCUUGUGCAUCACCGCGUGGGGACCUUUUGGAGGGGGUUCACGUUUUUACAUAGACUAAGUGUAGAAUGUCUCUUUUGCGAUCACACGCAUCAAUACAACUUUCAACAACGGAUCUCUUGGCUCUCGCAUCGAUGAAGAACGCAGCGAAAUGCGAUACGUAAUGUGAAUUGCAGAAUUCAGUGAAUCAUCGAAUCUUUGAACGCACCUUGCGCCCUUUGGUAUUCCGAGGGGCACACCCGUUUGAGUGUCGUGACAUUCUCAACCUUCUUGGUUUCUGGGAAGGCUUGGACUUUGGAGGCUUUUGCUGGCCUUUGUUGAAGCCAGCUCCUCUGAAAUGAAUUAGUGGGGUCUGCUUUGCUGAUCCUUGACGUGAUAAGUAUUUCUACGUCUUGGGUUUCGCACCGUCCUGCUUCUAACCGUCUCAAAGACAAUGGUCAACCACUUGACCCACCUUGACCUCAAUCGGGUGAGACUACCCGCUGAUAAGCAUAUCA